rnacentral:rRNA from 1 species
UACAGAGGUCUCAAGCGUUGUUCGGAUUCAUUGGGCGUAAAGGGUGCGUAGGCGGCGCGGUAAGUCGGGUGUGAAAUCUCGGAGCUUAACUCCGAAACUGCAUUCGAUACUGCCGUGCUUGAGGACUGGAGAGGAGACUGGAAUUUACGGUGUAGCGGUGAAAUGCGUAGAUAUCUGGAGGAACACCGGUGGCGAAGGCGGCAUCCUGGACCGAGAUUGACGCUGAUGCGCGAAAGCCAGGGGAGCAAACGGG